UUAAACGAAGAGGUAUCGUAAUUGAAGAGGUUUGGAAAGACCCACCACAGAAGGUAAUAGUCCUGUAUGUCAAACGAGAAAACUUCAGAUAUGAUCCAGAGUACCACGGGACACGUGAAACCCUGUGGGAAGCAGGAGGGACCACCCUCCAAGGCUAAAUACUACCUAGUGACCGAUAGCGUAUAGUACCGUGAGGGAAAGGUGAAAAGAACCCCGGGAGGGGAGUGAAAUAGAACCUGAAACCCUGCACUUACAAGCUGUGGAAGCACAUUUCUUGUGUGACCGCGUACUUUUUGUAGAACGGGCCAACGAGUUACGUUAAGUAGCAAGGUUAAGCACUUAAGGUGUGGAGCCGUAGCGAAAGCGAGUUUUAACUGAGCGUUCAGUUACUUGACGUAGACCCGAAACCGGGCGACCUACCCAUGAGCAGGAUGAAGCGAAAGUAAAAUUUCGUGGAGGUCCGAACCCACGAGCGUUGAAAAGCUCGGGGAUGACUUGUGGGU
rnacentral:rRNA from 1 species